rnacentral:rRNA from 1 species
AACGAACGCUGGCGGCAGGCCUAACACAUGCAAGUCGAACGCAUCGCAAGAUGAGUGGCGCACGGGUGAGUAACACGUGGGAAUGUAUCCUUUGGUUCGGAAUAACGUCUGGAAACGGACGCUAAUACCGGAUGAGCCCUUAGGGGGAAAGAUUUAUCGCCGAAGGAACAGCCCGCGUCUGAUUAGGUAGUUGGUGGGGUAAAGGCCUACCAAGCCGACGAUCAGUAGCUGGUCUGAGAGGAUGAUCAGCCACACUGGGACUGAGACACGGCCCAGACUCCUACGGGAGACAGCAGUGGGGAAGAUUGGACAAUGGGCGCAAGCCUGAUCCAGCCAUGCCGCGUGAGUGAUGAAGGCCUUCGGGUUGUAAAGCUCUUUCGCACACGACGAUGAUGACGGUAGUGUGAGAAGAAGCCCCGGCUAACUUCGUGCCAGCCGCCGCGGUAACAC